rnacentral:sRNA from 1 species
UGCGAGAAAAGUAUAAAAACACUUGGGGUGUGUUGUAUGAAGAUACUUUUCAAACUACGGUCUUUAAGCUCUUACCAAUAGCUCUCCUUGUCUUAAUGAACUGUCUGAUAGCAAGACGUCUUUGUGCUACCAAAGCAUGGCAGAAUAAAUUGAGUCAUGGGCAAAGUCAGAGCAAAUCAAGGCAACAAAGACAGAUAUAUCAGAUGCUGAUGGCCAGCUCCAUUUGUUUUAUCUUGUGUAUUAUGCCAGGGAUCAUUUACCAAUACUGCCACCUGUUGAUUGAGCGAGAUGACAAUGGCAUAAGGGCUCGUUUAAUUAUGAUGAACACUUUCGCCGUCUUUGAAGUUUACAACAGUGCUGCCAAUUUCGUUGUCUAUUCCAUAGCAGCUCAAA